UCGCCGCACAGAGGGUCUCAAACUCAUACCUCUGCCUUCUAGCCCUUAAUCCUGCCGCAUUACCUAAACUAAACACCACUCUGAUUGCAGUCCUCCCUGGGAACAGGCCAGCAUGGGGUCACGGGAAAAUUAGAGACGAUCUGAACUCUGCUCUCUACCUAAGUGCCGGCUUUGGUUUCCCCCACUGUAACAUGGAGAGGCUGAAGCCAGCCCACCAGCCAGUCUCCAGACCUAGGCAAGACCUCCUGCGAGCAGAGACUGCUCAUAGAAGUUGGAAGGGAGGAGGGGAACUUCGUGGAGGGGCCCCCGUGACACGUGGUUUUGGCGUCUGUAGCUAGCAGGAAGAAGUCUGGAUUUAUAUGAGGAGGGGGCGUACUCUGUCUGGUUCAUCGAGGGUCCUUUGUUCCCAGUCGCCUCCCCAAAUAAAGCUCAAAGGCACCCUCUCCUUUUCAACUGUGUCAAAGAGGACCUGGCUGGGCAGAGAAGCCAGGGGUGCAUCCUGAAGGUGCUCUACCUGUCCAAGUUCGCUGUUAACAGAGGUUUGGGAGUGAGGUCCGCCUCGAAGUGCUCUUCUUCCGUGCCCGGCCGGCAAGUGGGCCCAUCACGGUGCAAGGUACAUAUUCUGUCUCCAUGGUACAAGCGAGAAAGCUGAGGCUCCGAGAUUAAGCUCUGGCUUAAGGUCACACUUCUUACCUCAUCCUGCUUCCUGCCUCCCCCAUCAUUGAAUAUGUGGGAAUUCAGAAUUCCAGAUGUCGCUACCAAAGAGACAAAACAUUCUGAGACUCUGGGGGUGGGGUGGGGGGGGGUGGAGGGACUAAGAAGACAUACGCCUGCUGGAGACUCUGCGGUCAUAGUUCUGCUGAGAGGCAAGCGGGUGGACAAGAUAUGUGGGGAAACCUCAAGGAAGAAGAAACGGACAUUGAUGGUGUGGGAUGGAAAUUGCCGCCAGGGGGGUAGACAGCAGACACAGCAGACUGAUAGAGGGGGAUCUAAAUCAAAGGUGAGGAGGAGCAGUCAGGGAGGGCUUCUUGGAGGAGGUGAGGCUUAAGCUACAGAGAGUGAGCGUUUGCUAUUUGAAGAAGAAGAGAAAGGGCUACCCCAGCAGAGGCAACAUCCCACAGGAAGGGGAUGUAUAUUCUAGGGGACUCCAGGGGGUCAGUACAUGGAGGGUGUGUGUGUGUGUGUGUGUGUGUGUGUGUGCACGUGUGCUGGGGGUAGAAGGUUAAAAACUAGGGCAGAGGCCAGUCGAGGACACUAAAGGCUUUUUGUGCCUCUCCAAAGGGUCCAAAUUUUUCCCGAAAGCAAACAGGGGCCAUUGGAUUAUUUCACGUGAGGGGAUCGAGAUGAUCCUGGUUGCAUGUGAGAAAGAUCGUUGUGGCAGCAGCAAAGAUUGUCAAUUGGGAAGCCAG